rnacentral:rRNA from 1 species
GACGAACGCUGGCGGCGUGCUUAACACAUGCAAGUCGAACGGAAAGGCCCUGCUCUUGUGGGGUGCUCGAGUGGCGAACGGGUGAGUAACACGUGAGUAACCUGCCCUUGACUUUGGGAUAACUUCAGGAAACUGGGGCUAAUACCGGAUAGGAGCUCCUGCUGCAUGGUGGGGGUUGGAAAGUUUCGGCGGUUGGGGAUGGACUAGCGGCUUAUCAGCUUGUUGGUGGGGUAGUGGCUUACCAAGGCUUUGACGGGUAGCCGGCCUGAGAGGGUGACCGGCCACAUUGGGACUGAGAUACGGCCCAGACUCCGACGGGAGGCAGCAGUGGAGAAUAUUGCACAAUGGGCGGAAGCCUGAUGCAGCAACGCCGCGUGCGUGAUGACGGCCUUCGGGUUGUAAACCGCUUUCGCCUGUGACGAAGCGUGAGUGACGGUAAUGGGUAAAGAAGCACCGGCUAACUACGUG